CCUACGUGAGGCAGCAGUGGGGAAUAUUGCGCAAUGGGCGAAAGCCUGACGCAGCGACGCCGCGUGAGGGAUGAAGGUCUUCGGAUCGUAAACCUCUGUCAGCAGGGAAGAACGGUCACUGUGCUAAUCAGCAGUGAAUUGACGGUACCUGCAAAGGAAGCACCGGCUAACUCCGUGCCAGCAGCCGCGGUAAUCCGGAGGGUGCGAGCGUUAAUCGGAAUUACUGGGCGUAAAGCGCUCGUAGGCGGUAUGUCAAGUCAAGGGUGAAAUCCCCGCGCUCAACGUGGGAACUGCCUUUGAAACUGGCAAACUGGAGUGUGUGAGAGGAUAGUGGAAGUCCAGGUGUAGGAGUGAAAUCCGUAGAUAUCUGGAGGAACAUCAGUGGCGAAGGCGACUAUCUGGCACAUAACUGACGCUGAGGAGCGAAAGCGUGGGUAGCAAACAGGAUUAGAUACCCCUGUAGUC
rnacentral:rRNA from 1 species